rnacentral:rRNA from 1 species
AUUGAACGCUGGCGGAAUGCUUUACACAUGCAAGUCGAGCGGCAGCACGGGGGCAACCCUGGUGGCGAGCGGCGAACGGGUGAGUAACACAUCGGAACGUACCCUGUCGUGGGGGAUAACGAGUCGAAAGAUUCGCUAAUACCGCAUACGACCCGAGGGUGAAAGCGGGGGAUCGCAAGACCUCGCGCGACUGGAGCGGCCGAUGGCGGAUUAGCUAGUUGGUGGGGUAAAGGCCCACCAAGGCGACGAUCCGUAGCGGGUCUGAGAGGACGGCCCGCCACACUGGGACUGAGACACGGCCCAGACUCCUACGGGAGGCAGCAGUGGGGAAUUUUGGGACAAUGGGGGCAACCCUGAUCCAGCCAUUCCGCGUGAGUGAAGAAGGCC